GGGAACUAACAGAGAUUCAUCAUCUGGCUGUUCUUGCUGCAGAACAGGACUUCUGCUCUCUUCUGCCUUCCUCUUUCUUCCUUGGGAUCUUCAGGGCAAACCCCAAAAGUCCUGUCAGCAUGGGACCUCCUGCUCAGCUUCUCUUCCUCCUCCUGCUUCUCCAGUCUCCAGAGAACACAGUUUCACAAAUGAGCUCCAUCCCACCGAUGGUUGCCGGGGUUCUGGGGGAGUCAGUAACUCUUCCCCUGAAGUUUCUUGCAGGAGAGGAGAUCGACUCCAUCACCUGGCUUCACAACGGAACAUCUAUCAUCUACAUACAGCCAAAUGAAGCAUGAACCAUGGUGACUGCUCCAAAAUGGAAAGAUAGACUGAAGGUCACCAAGUCCUACUCCUUGCAGGUCAGCAACCUGACGAUGGAAGACACAGGAUCUUAUAGUGUCCAAAUAGUUACAAAGACCUCUACAGUGUUUUCCAGUUACACUCUGAGGAUCAUCAGGCGGCUGCGAAGGCCUCACAUUACAGUGGGUUCUGUCAUCUCUGAGAAUGGGACCUGUCACACCACCUUGAGGUGUUCUGUGGAGGAAGGAGGAGAGAAUGUUAUAUAUGGGUGGACAUCAAUGGGACCAGGAGCUACUGUGUCCCAGGGAGGAUCCACCCUCAAUGACUCCUGGAGCCUUGAUGAUCUGGAUUGGACCUACACCUGCGCAGCUAUGAAUCUUGUUAGCAAUAGCACCUCCAGGCUCAUCUUUGCUAAGCAGCUUUGUGCAGGUAACUGGCCCCCUCUAGUCUCUCCAAGACUCCUU